rnacentral:rRNA from 1 species
AGCAGCCGCGGUAAUUCCAGCUCCAAUAGCGUAUAUUAAAGUUGUUGCAGUUAAAAAAGCUCGUAGUUGAAUUUCGAGAUCAAUUUGUUGGUCGUGCCUCGGUACGUACUGGCAAUUUUGAUUUCUCCCUUCUGAAGAACCAUGAUGUCAUUAAUUUGGUGCCAUGGGGAAUCAGGACCGUUACUUUGAAAAAUUAGAGUGUUUAAAGCAGGCUCGCGCUUGAAUACAUUAGCAUGGAAUAAUGAAAUAGGACGUUUGAUUCUAUUUUGUUUGGUUUCUAGGACCGACGUAAUGAUUAAUAGGGAUAGUUGGGGGCAUUAGUAUUCAAUUGUCAGAGGUGAAAUUCUUGGAUUUAUUGAAGACUAACUACUGCGAAAGCAUUUGCCAAGGAUGUUUUCAUUAAUCAAGAACGAAAGUUAGGGGAUCGAAGACGAUCAGAUACCGUCGUAGUCUUAACCAUAAACUAUGCCGACUAGGGAGUCGGAUGAUGUUUAAUUUUUUAAUUAGUACUCAGGGGGUU